UGUGACCUCAAAUCAGGUAGGACUACCCGCUGAACUUAAGCAUAUCAAUAAGCGGAGGAAAAGAAACUAACAAGGAUUCCCCUAGUAACUGCGAGUGAAGCGGGAAAAGCUCAAAUUUAAAAUCUGGCGGUCUUUUGGCUGUCCGAGUUGUAAUCUAGAGAAGUGUUAUCCGCGCUGGACCGUGUACAAGUCUCCUGGAAAGGAGCAUCAUAGAGGGUGAGAAUCCCGUCUUUGACAUGGACUACCAGGGCUUUGUGAUGCGCUCUCAAAGAGUCGAGUUGUUUGGGAAUGCAGCUCAAAAUGGGUGGUAAAUUCCAUCUAAAGCUAAAUAUUGGCGAGAGACCGAUAGCGAACAAGUACCGUGAGGGAAAGAUGAAAAGAACUUUGGAAAGAGAGUUAAACAGUACGUGAAAUUGCUGAAAGGGAAACGCUUGAAGUCAGUCGCGUCAUCCAGGGAUCAACCUUGCUUUUGCUUGGUGCACUUUCUGGUUUGAUGGGUCAGCAUCAAUUUUGACCAUUGGAAAAAGGUCAAGGGAAUGUGGCAUCUUUGGAUGUGUUAUAGCCCUUGGUCACA
rnacentral:rRNA from 1 species